GACGAACGCUGGCGGCGUGCUUAACACAUGCAAGUCGAACGGUAAGGCCCCUUCGGGGGUACACGAGUGGCGUACGGGUGGGUAACACGUGAGCAACCUGCCCUUUACUUUGGGAUACCAGCUGGAAACAGCUGCUAAUACCGGAUAUGACCUCUUCUCUCAUGGGUUGAGGUGGAAAGCUCCGGCGGUCAGGGAUGGGCUCGCGGCCUAUCAGCUUGUUGGUGAGGUAAUGGCUCACCAAGGCCUCGACGGGUAGCCGGCCUGAGAGGGCGACCGGCCACACUGGGACUGAGAUACGGACCAGAGUCCUACGGGAGGCAGCAGUGGGGAAUAUUGCACAAUGGGCGCAAGCCUGAUGAAGCAACGCCGCGUGCGGGAUGAAGGCCUUCGGGUUGUAAACCGCGUUCAGUAGGGACGAAGCUAACGUGACGGUACCUACAGAAGAAGGACCGGCUAACUACGUG
rnacentral:rRNA from 1 species